CCACUAAGCUACAGGUCUCCAAAAUAUGUUGCCAAAUAUACACAACAAUGAAACAGAUACAACACGAUUCAACAACAGACUGUGAUAACUGACAGCAAAUAAUAAUGAUGGUGAAAAUAAUGAUAAAGACCAAUCUUGACGUGGAGGUCGUCCCCCUUAAGUUAGACACUGCAAUAUUAAAACUUUGGCUGAGAGCCGGCGACCACGAGCUGAGAGUAUCACUUGAAGCCACAGAGAACAACCCAUCUCCUCUGAACUAAUCUGAAGACUCUUUUAUUGAUGCGGGCAAUGCAACAAAUCAAGCUGAAUUUGCCAGCUCCCUCCCGAAGCAAUCUUUCCAACUAAACAGAUCUCAACUCAAAAAUUACAGACCUUUGUGAAGUUACAAAGGAGGAAGUACAAGACAAAAUUAGUAAAAUUAUAUAAGUUGUUACUGACUUAUAUCCCCGGCUUGACUCACGUGCCGUCUUGACUUCGCUGGACUUCCCAACUCUUCCCAACUCCACAAGCUGCAGAUUAUUCAAAACUCUGCAGCUCGUGUCCUCUCCCACACCAAGCUCUGUGAACCAAUCACCCCUGUCCUUGCCCAGAUUCACCGGCUCCCCAUUCCUCAGAGAAUCAAGUACAAAAUCCUUGUUCUAACCUUCAAAGCUUUCCAUGGUCUUGCUCCCACCUACCUCUCUGACCUCCUAACCCUAUAUCAGCCUGUCCAAUCCCUCUACCCGGCGGACACCGGCCUGCUUCAGGUCCCUCCACUUCCUGCUCCACUAUUGGUGGUCGGGGAUUCAGCAUCUCUAUCCCCACAUUCUGGAGCAAUAUCCCGCAAUCCCUCCGUCUCACCGCCUCUUACCUCCUUCAAGUCAC